UACAGAGGUCCCAAGCGUUGUUCGGAUUCAUUGGGCGUAAAGGGUGCGUAGGCGGCGCGGUAAGUCGGGUGUGAAAUCUCGGGGCUUAACUCCGAAACUGCAUUCGAUACUGCCGUGCUUGAGGACUGGAGAGGAGACUGGAAUUUACGGUGUAGCGGUGAAAUGCGUAGAUAUCAAGAGGAACACCUGAGGUGAAGACGGGUUGCUGGGCUGACACUGACGCUGAGGCGCGAAAGCUGGGGUAGCAAACGGG
rnacentral:rRNA from 1 species